rnacentral:rRNA from 1 species
UACGUAGGUGGCAAGCGUUGUCCGGAUUUACUGGGCGUAAAGAGCGCGCAGGCGGUCGUUCGAGUCGCGUGUGAAAGCCCCCGGCUCAACUGGGGAGGGUCACGCGAUACUGAUCGACUCGAAGGCAGGAGAGGGUAGUGGAAUUCCCGGUGUAGCAGUGAAAUGCGUAGAGAUCGGGAGGAACAUCUGUGGCGAAGGCGACUGCCUGGACCAGCACUGACACUGAGGCACGAAAGCGUGGGGAGCAAACAGG